GUGUGUAUCAGUACAUGGCAUAUCAAUAAGCGGAGGAAAAGAAACUAACAAGGAUUCCCUUAGUAACGGCGAGUGAAGCGGGAAGAGCUCAAAUUUGAAAUCUUCAAGGGUUUACCUUUACGAAUUGUAGUUUAAAGAAGUGUUUUCUGUUGGAGUUUCGGUAAAAGUUCUUUGGAAUAGGACAUCAUAGAGGGUGAGAAUCCCGUAUUUGACCAUCAUUUUCAGCUGUGUGAUACACUUUCAAAGAGUCGGAUUGUUUGGGAAUGCAGUCCAAAAUGGGUGGUAAAUUUCAUCUAAAGCUAAAUAUUGGCGAGAGACCGAUAGCGAACAAGUACCGUGAGGGAAAGAUGAAAAGAACUUGAAAAGAGAGUUAAACAGUACGUGAAAUUGUCAGAAGGGAAGCGUUUGACACCAGUGUUGUUUUCUCGAAAAUCAAUUAAAAAAGGCCGGAUUUUGUGUUGUAUUGACCUUAAAAGCUUUCUUCACUCUUUUCUUGUCUUUUUUAAUGCACUUUUCGUUUAACAAGUCAACAUCAGUUUCUUUUGUUGUAAAAGGGUCAUUGGAAGGUGGCUUUCUUUUCGGAGAAAGUGUUUAUAGCCUUUGAUCUCUGCAACCGGAGAGACUGAGGUCUGCAGCGUAGACUCUUCGGGGUUAGAUACAUUUGUGCUAAGCUAUAGCUUUUUAUAGACAACUUGUUGACUAUAUUUAGUCUUGUGGCUUACUCGCUUAUGCUAUUUUACCUACGCUUAGGAUGUUGAUAGUCACAGCGUGUAC
rnacentral:rRNA from 1 species